GCCGACGUAGCUCAGCUGGUAGAGCAGCGGUUUUGUAAACCGCAGGUCGCAGGUUCAAACCCUACCGUCGGCU
rnacentral:tRNA from 1 species